rnacentral:rRNA from 1 species
GCCAGACUCCUACGGGAGGCAGCAGUGAGGAAUAUUGGUCAAUGGGCGCGAGCCUGAACCAGCCAAGUAGCGUGAAGGAUGACUGCCCUACGGGUUGUAAACUUCUUUUAUAAAGGAAUAAAGUGAGGCACGUGUGCCUUUUUGUAUGUACUUUAUGAAUAAGGAUCGGCUAACUCCGUGCCAGCAGCCGCGGUAAUACGGAGGAUCCGAGCGUUAUCCGGAUUUAUUGGGUUUAAAGGGAGCGUAGAUGGGUUGUUAAGUCAGUUGUGGAAGUUUGCGGCUCAACCGUAAAAUUGCAAUUGAUACUGGCAGCCUUGAGUACAGUUGAGGUAGGCGGAAUUCGUGGUGUAGCGGUGAAAUGCAUAGAUAUCACGCAGAACUCCGAUUGCGAAGGCAGCAUACCGGCGCGCAACUGACGCUCAUGCACGAAAGCGUGGGUAUCGAACAGGAUUAGAUACCCCUGUAU